AAAGAUCGGAGUUCAAAUAAUAAGGUACAGCUUUUAGGAGGAGAUUGUUAAAUAAAAGCUCUGCCUUAUUUAGUUAGGUUUGUAAAAACAUAUGAGUUCACGCGAAUGGAGGAGCGUGAUUCUAGGGGCCAUUGUUUUGGCAGAGUGGCGGAGUCUUCGUCCACUUAUUCUAUUUGUGUAUAUUUGGUUUUUCUAUUUUUGUAAUUAGAUUUAUUAUUUAAACCAUUCAACGGAUGUAAAAUAAUAUAUUGAGUCUUCAGCAUUACCAGCGAAUCUCUCUCUCUCUCUCCUUUUACUUCCGCUAAUUUUUCCUUCGAAGAAACCUUCGGCCAAUUUUUUUUCGUCGACAUCCGAUUUGCCAGAGGUAAUAGAGCCUCG